rnacentral:lncRNA from 10 species
UUCCAGGAGGCAAAUGUUUAUGCUUUGAUCCAUAUGGGUAGUUUUAAAAAUAAGCUAUUUGAAGCACUCCCUUCCAGAGUGUUCCAUUUAAAAUGACAGCAGAUUUAAGAAAUGAGUCCCCAGGAAUGGCCCUGUCAGGACUGUGAUAUCAGCUGUGCUUUUCCUCCUGGAAGGUACUCAGCUCAUAGGUAACAAGGCUACCUGGAGAGGCUCUCUCGUUUCCAUUCUGUGCUCUCUGAGGAGCUAGCCUUGGAAAACCACUGAUGCUGUGUGUCAUGUGUACCCACAGGCUCAUUUGCUCAAGCUCUUAGUCUUCCUGGCCAUUUAACACACAAGCAAUGAAGUCUAGUGACCCACUUCUGGGUGUCAGGUUUCAACUUGGACUCAUCCUCAGGCCUCUCACCAGGUGUUCUCCCUUGGAAUUCCCUCUGCCCAUGACUAAUGCAGCCACAAGGUCAAAACUCCUCAUCUCAAGGGGCUGGCCUGGAAACCAUUGCCUAUCCACACUUUUGAAACCUACUCUGUAUCAUUACAGACUUUCAGUGAAUUAAUUUAGACAGAUGACCGGCUUGGUUCUUAAAACACACACACACACACAC